rnacentral:rRNA from 1 species
UACGAAGGGGGCUAGCGUUGCUCGGAAUCACUGGGCGUAAAGCGCACGUAGACGGAUCUUUAAGUCAGGGGUGAAAUCCUGGAGCUCAACUCCAGAACUGCCUUUGAUACUGAGGAUCUUGAGUCCGGGAGAGGUGAGUGGAACUCCGAGUGUAGAGGUAAAAUUCGUAGAUAUUCGGAAGAACACCAGUGGCGAAGGCGGCUCACUGGCCCGGUACUGACGCUGAGGUGCG